UUAGCCGAUCGGGCAAUCGCUGCUUCAGUUUGCGCAAGUAAACCGAAGGGGAGGAAAGUCCGGGCUCCAUAGGGCAAGAUGCCAGGUAACGCCUGGGCGGCGCAAGUCGACGGAAAGUGCCACAGAAAAUAUACCGCCUAAACUAUUUAAUUAGCUUAGGUAAGGGUGAAAAGGUGCGGUAAGAGCGCACCGCGCCAUUGGUAACAGUGUGCGGCAGGGCAAACCCCAUCUGGAGCAAGACCAAAUAGGAAUGCAUUGACGCGGCCCGCGUUGCAUUCGGGUAGGUUGCUUGAGGUAUAUGGUGACGUAUACCCUAGAUGAAUGAUUGUCCUCGACAGAACCCGGCUUACAGAUCGGCUAUUUUU
rfam:Thiothrix eikelboomii strain ATCC 49788 genome assembly, contig: EI61DRAFT_scaffold00001.1